UCAUUUUUGCCUUUCGAAGGUUCUAUUCAAUUUGUAAUGCUAUAUCUUUAAGUUCUUUGUAAGUAUUCCAAGCAUCACUUCCAGAAAUCUACAGAUCUACGCUUGUUCCAAACCUGAUAGCCCUUCUGUGCAUCAUGGGUUUUUUGCCCACAAUUUUUAAAUUUCUGGAGUAUUUUAUGUCUACAGCAACUGGUACUGUAAAGUGGUUUGACGAAUCUAAAGGUUUUGGUUUUAUUUCUCAGGCUGACGGCGGCAAAGAUGUAUUCGUACACUUCCGUGCGAUCAAAUCUGACGGUUUCCGUACUCUGACUGAAGGUCAGUCUGUACAGUUCAGCAUUGAACAAGGCAACAAAGGUCCGCAAGCUGCUGACGUUGUUGUACUUUAAUUAAGUCACCACUUAAUUAAAAUUACGGGAGCUCUGGUGAGCUCCCGUUUUUC
rnacentral:sRNA from 1 species